ACGCGCAACCACGUGCGUUCGCAGUCCGCGCUUUGUACGUCUUUUCCGUGUCCACGCGACGCUGAUAGUUCAGCCCGCGCUUUUCCUUAAUUACUGUACAUUAGUUUAGUUAGCAAUUAAGUUUGAGCCCGCGCAGUUUAGUAAUUAAGUAUAUUUGUCAGUCCGCGCAAACCUUGUGUAAUUCGUUGUACAGUUCUGACCACUCGUGUGAUUCUCUGAACCCGCGAGUGACUAUUGUAAAUAUUUCUCUGUGUAAAAUACAUUGUUUGUUACCGUUACGCAGAACAAGAUGAGGUGGUGCGACAGCUGCAGCGGCAACAACAACAAAUAAAGCAAUUAAGGGCGAGCUCAGGGCGGAACUCUUCCCUCAACAGCAGCAACAACCUAUGGAGGUUGCAGAGGAUGCCGCAACGAACCGGAUUGGUGGUAGCGCGUCAACCCCCAACAACUCCCAUAAGUUACCCCGGCGAGAGAGAAAAAAAGCGAAGAAACGAAACGCUUCCGACAAGAGCUUCAAAGUUAAACACAAAUAGGGAGCGCAUCUUCCGAGGCUUCUUUGUGCCUUUGUUUCUUCGGUGUAUCUCCAGCAAAAAAAGCCUCCGAACAGGAAUAAGAGGGCCCAUAAUUCGACUGUUUGCGUAAAUUUUGAAUUCGAUCAACCUUCGCUUCGUUGCUCAACGUGUCGCACUUUCACCACCAUUCUAACGCUCUAUUAUUUAUAUUU